CGGGUCACUUCACGUGGGCAAUCUGCCCUGCACUCUGGGAUAACUCCGGGAAACCGGAGCUAAUACCGGAUACGAUCCUCCAGGGCAUCCUGGGGGGUGGAAAGCUCCGGCGGUGCAGGAUGAGCCCGCGGCCUAUCAGCUGGUUGGUGGGGUGACGGCCCACCAAGGCGACGACGGGUAGCCGGCCUGAGAGGGCGACCGGCCACACUGGGACUGAGACACGGCCCAGACUCCUACGGGAGGCAGCAGUGGGGAAUAUUGCACAAUGGGCGCAAGCCUGAUGCAGCGACGCCGCGUGAGGGAUGACGGCCUUCGGGUUGUAAACCUCUUUCAGCAGGGAAGAAGCGCGAGUGACGGUACCUGCAGAAGAAGCACCGGCUAACUACGUGCCAGCAGCCGCGGUAAUACGUAGGGUGCGAGCGUUGUCCGGAAUUAUUGGGCGUAAAGAGCUCGUAGGCGGCCUGUCGCGUCGGAUGUGAAAGCCCGGGGCUUAACCCCGGGUCGGCAUUCGAUACGGGCAGGCUAGAGUUCGGUAGGGGAGAUCGGAAUUCCUGGUGUAGCGGUGAAAUGCGCAGAUAUCAGGAGGAACACCGGUGGCGAAGGCGGAUCUCUGGGCCGAUACUGACGCUGAGGAGCGAAAGCGUGGGGAGCGAACAGGAUUAGAUACCCUGGUAGUCCACGCCGUAAACGUUGGGCACUAGGUGUGGGCGGCUUCCCCGUCGUCCGUGCCGCCGCUAACGCAUUAAGUGCCCCGCCUGGGGAGUACGGCCGCAAGGCUAAAACUCAAAGGAAUUGACGGGGGCCCGGG
rnacentral:rRNA from 1 species